UACGUAGGGCGCAAGCGUUGUCCGGAAUUAUUGGGCGUAAAGAGCUCGUAGGUGGCUUGUUGCGUCUGCCGUGAAAGCCCGUGGCUUAACUACGGGUCUGCGGUGGAUACGGGCAGGCUAGAGGCUGGUAGGGGCAAGCGGAAUUCCUGGUGUAGCGGUGAAAUGCGCAGAUAUCAGGAGGAACACCAACGGCGAAGGCAGCUUGCUGGGACGGUACUGACGCUAAGGCGCGAAAGCGUGGGGAGCGAACAGG
rnacentral:rRNA from 1 species